AAGUCGUAACAAGGUUUCGAGGAGUCCUUCUAUACGGAAGCCUCGACGUCGCGACUAUAAACCAAGUACGUCCAGUCCGCCUCCGUGCGGGCGACGCCGCUCCUCUGCGGGGACCCUCUACGGGGGGUACCUGCAGCCUAAAGGCCAGGCCUUUAGGUUCACAGAUCAGACAGCGGCGGUUACUCGACACUCUGAAGAGAUUAAUUAAGAUAUGACCGGUCCCCGCCUAUCCGGCGGUUGGAGUAUAACGUUCCGUAGGUGAACCUGCGGAAGGAUCAUUAACGAGUCAGGGUCUACUCGGCCCGAUCUCCAACCCAGUGCUUACCUUCCCGUGUUGCUUUGGCGGGCCCGUCGUUCGUUCGACCGCCCCCGGGCCCGUGCCCGCCGAAGCCCCCCUCCAACUCCCUUUGAACCUGCCGUCUCAGUGAACAACAAGCAAAUAAUCAAA
rnacentral:misc_RNA from 1 species